CGGACGGGUGAGUAACACGUGGAUAACCUACCUAUAAGACUGGGAUAACUUCGGGAAACCGGAGCUAAUACCGGAUAAUAUAUUGAACCGCAUGGUUCAAUAGUGAAAGACGGUUUUGCUGUCACUUAUAGAUGGAUCCGCGCCGCAUUAGCUAGUUGGUAAGGUAACGGCUUACCAAGGCAACGAUGCGUAGCCGACCUGAGAGGGUGAUCGGCCACACUGGAACUGAGACACGGUCCAGACUCUACGGGAGGCAGCAGCA
rnacentral:rRNA from 1 species